ensembl:lncRNA
CUGGGAGGCUCCUUCCGUUAGGGACUUCCCCCGCUGGUGGGAGGGAGAGGAGGGGCGGCCCAGCAUGGCCCCGGGUCCGGCCUUACAGUUAUGUCUUUGGUUAGAAAGGAACAGAGACAUAUUUAGUCUCAAGUAAUGGGAGCUUAUUUGGCCAGAAAUGGAGGUGGACUCUAAUGAUAAGAAGUCAGGCCUCAUAAGAAGAGCAAAUGGACCCACGCUCUGGAGGCUGGAAGCUCAGGCGCAAGAUGCCAGUAGGAAAGAACUGUCCCCUUGGGUCGCAGAUGGUAACCUUCUCUCUGUCCUCACGGAGGUCUCUCCUUGGUCCCUGACUGCCUGUGCACAGAAGGAAAUAGUAGAAGAAAUCAGAGGAGAAGUGUAUCUUUUCAGCACCAAAUUCACGAACCCGCUAGCUUCUGAGAGACCUGAACUCAGCCCUGCACGGAGCCUUACCUCUGCCUCCCUCCUGCAGUAAGGAUAAGAAGUCCCUGCUUGAUGGAGGUUGAGACCUCCAGCUAUAGGACACGCUGUAAUUCUCACUCAGUCCAACAACACCCUGAGACAGUCCUGGCCUCUGUGUAACCCAG